AUGGCCAUUAAUACCUUGCACUACAAGUUGCUUGAGGGCAAAAUGAAAGUGUCUGUGAAUUACGGCGGUGACCCUAUUCCGAAGAGCCCCUUUACCGUAGGGGUGGCAGCGCCGCUGGACUUGAACAAGAUCCGAAUAAAUGGCCUGGAAAGUAGAGUGGAGGUUGGCAAAGAUCAGCUGUUUACUGUGGAUCCUAAUGGAGCUGGUGGGCAAGGAAAACUGGAGGUGAAGAUCUCCAGCCCUAGCCGAAAAUCAGUCCCGUGUCUGGUGGAACCUGUUGGUGGUAAAGAGUGCAGCACUGUGAAAUAUAUUCCCAAAGAGGAGGGUCUGUACAAUGUUGAUGUGACUUAUGAUGGGAAUCCAGUUCCUGGAAGUCCAUAUGUAGUGGAAGCCACUUUGCCUCCUGAUCCAUCAAAGGUGAAGGCCUAUGGACCAGGUCUCAAAGGUGGUCUUGUUGGAAAACCUGCCGAGUUUACCAUUGAUACAAAAGGAGCUGGAACUGGUGGUUUGGGUCUAACUGUUGAAGGACCUUGUGAAGCGAAGAUUGAAUGUUCUGACAAUGGCGAUGGCACAUGUUCUGUCUCCUACCUCCCUACUACACCAGGAGAAUAUUUUGUUAACAUCCUGUUUGAGGAAACCCACAUUCCGGGGUCACCUUUUCAAGCAAAUGUUGAAAUGCCCUUUGAUCCUUCCAAAGUAAUCGCCACGGGUCCAGGCCUCGAGCAUGGCAAAGUAGGAGAAACUGGCUUGAUUCAUGUGGACUGUUCCCAAGCAGGACCAGGUGACCUGGCAGUUGAGUCUGUCUCUGAUUCUGGGUCACAAGCGGAGGUUAAUGUACAGGAUAACAAAGACGGGACAUACACAGUCACCUACGUGCCACUUUUUGCUGGCAUGUAUACACUGGCAUUGAAAUACGGUGGAGAUCAAGUGCCAAAGUUCCCUGCCCGAGUUAAAGUUGAUCCAGCUGUGGAUACCAGUAAUAUUAAAGUGUUCGGACCAGGAAUUAAAGAAAAAGGGGUUUUUAGAGAAGCUACAACAGACUUUACCGUGGAUGCAAAUCACUAGCCAAAACUGGAGGCGAUCACGUCGAAACCAAAUCACUAAUCCGUCCGGUGCGUCCACCGAUUAUGUUCUAAGAGAUAAUGGAGAUGGAACUUACUUUGUGGAGUACACUCCCUUUGAAAAAGGUAACGUGUUCCAUACAAUUAAGGUGACCUAUGAAUGAUGAAGCCGUCCCCAACAGCCCAUUCAAAGUAGGAGUGACAGAGGGGUGCUACCCUGACCGUGUGAAAGCGCCCAAGGUGCUCGGGACCUCACAGAAGCUGUGACAAGCAAGCCAAACUUGUUCUCAGUUUUUUGCAGGGGGGCUGGGAUUGGUGGUCUGGGAAUUACAGUUGAAGGACCCUCGGAAUCCAAAAUGUCUUGUAAAGACAACAAAGAUGGCAGCUGCAGUGUGGAAUACACUCCAUAUGUUCCAGGGGACUAUGAUGUGAAUAUAACAUAUAAUGGAGAGCAUAUUCCAGGCAGUCCAUUCAGAGUACCAGUGAAAGAUGUUGUGGAUCCCGGCAAGGUCAAGACAUCUGGGCCUGGGCUGGGCACAGCAGUACGAGCAAAUAUCCCCCAGCAGUUUACUGUGAAUAGCAGCAAAGCUGGAAUUGCUCCCCUGGCAGUGCAGGUGACGGGACCAAGAGCCGAAUCCAAAAUAGUGUAUUUGACUAAAAGAAAUAAAAUUGAAAUCAUGGUUGACUUCUCCUUUAAAGGCAGAUUUAUUAAGGGUUCGAAUAGUAAAGGGACGGUGGAACCAGUAGAUAUAGUGGAUAAUGGAGACGGGACUCACACAGUGAGUUAUACGCCCACGCUGGAGGGCCCCUAUACCGUAGCUGUCCAGUAUGCUGAUGAAGAGAUCCCACGAAGUCCCUUUAAGGUGAAGGUCUUGCCAACGUAUGAUGCCAGCAAGGUGACUGCCAGCGGUCCUGGACUCUGCGCUCAAGGAGUUUCUGCCAGCCUGCCAGUUAAUUUUGCUGUAGAUGCCAAGAAUGCAGGACUAGGACCUCUGUCGGUCCAAAUCACGGAUCAAGAAGGGAAGCCAAAGAAAGCACAUAUUCAGGACAACAAUGAUGGCACCUAUUCUGUAUCUUACAUCCCAGACAGGACUGGGCGCUACCAUGUUGCUGUGAAAUAUGGAGGAGAUGACAUCCCUUACUCCCCAUAUAGAAUUUGUGCCAUGUCCAUAGGAGAUGCCAGCAAGUGCACAGCAGCAGGUCCCGGUAUCCAGGCAGCAGUAAAAACAGGGGAGGAAGUUGGUUUUGUGGUCGAUGCCACAACCGCUGGUAAAGGGAAAGUCACGUGCAGCAUCCUCGGCCCAGAUGGGUUGGAGACUGAAGCAGAUGUGAUCGAGAACGCGGACGGCACUUAUGACAUUUACUACACUACAGCUAAAACCGGACCCUACGUCAUCCACGUUCGCUUUGGUGGAGCUGGCAUCCCCAAUAGCCCCUUUACUGUAAUGGCUACAGAUGAAGUCCCCGUACAGGUGCAGCAGCAGUCCCUUAGUGCAUGUCCUCCAGGCUACCAGUCCUUGGUAUCGGAGGCAGAUUAUGCUCCUGUUGGCUCAAUGAAUGGUCUGGGUUUCCGGCCUUUUGAUUUGGUUAUUCCAUUUGCCGUACGAACUGGAGAGAUAACAGGGGAAGUUCACAUGCCUUCUGGGAAGACAGCCCCCGCAGAUAUUGUUGACAACAAAGAUGGUACUGUGUCUAUUCGAUACGUUCCCACAGAAACUGGACUGCACGAGCUGGCCAUUAAAUGUAAUGGAGCUCACAUCCCAGAAAGCCCACUGCAGUUCUUCGUGAAUUAUCCAAACACAGGAAGUGUCUCUGCAUAUGGACCAGGCCUUAUCUAUGGGGUCGCCAAGAAGCCAGCCACAUUCACAAUUAUAACAGAAGAUGCUGGAGAAGGGGGCCUGGAUCUGGCAAUAGAAGGGCCCUCCAAGGCAGAGAUCAGCUGCAUUGAUAACAAAGAUGGCACUUGCACUGUGACAUAUCUGCCCACCCUUCCAGGAGAUUAUAACAUCCUAGUGAAAUAUAAUGACAUACACAUCGCUGGAAGCCCUUUUGUUGCAAAAAUCACAGAUGAUAGCAGGCGGCGCUCACAAGUAAAACUUGGUUCCACGGCAGACUUUUUAUUGGAUAUCACGGAGACUGAUCUGAGCCUUCUGUCUGCCAGUAUAAAAGCCCCAUCUGGUCGUGAUGAGCCCUGUCUUCUGAAAAGGCUUCCAAACAACCAUAUUGGAAUUUCAUUCAUCCCAAGGGAAGUUGGGGAGCACUUAGUCAGCAUUAAGAAAAAUGGCCGCCACAUACCCAACAGUCCUAUAUCCAUCAUGGUUUACCAGUCAGAAAUAGGGGACGCCAGCAAGGUGAAAGCCUUUGGGCCAGGUCUGAUUGAAGGGCGGUCGUAUGAGAUGUCGGAUUUUAUUGUGGAUACCAGAGAGGCAGGCUACGGCGGGCUCUCGCUGGCAGUGGAAGGACCCAGUAAAGUAGACAUCCAAACAGAGGACCUAGAGGAUGGCACAUGCCAGGUCUCCUAUUGUCCAACAGAACCAGGAGUUUACAUUGUAUCCAUCAAGUUUGCAGAUGAGCAUGUUCCAGGAAGCCCAUUCACAGCCAAAGUGAUUGGGGAGGGAAGAAUGAAGGAGAGCAUCACACGCAGGAGGAAAGCACCAUCUGUGGCCUCAGUGGGUGGCCUUUGCGAGCUGAACCUGAAAAUACCAGAAAUUGACCGACAUGAACUGACGGCAAAGGUCAUCAGCCCAUCAGGGAGGAAACAAGAAGCAGAGAUUGUUGAUCUUGGACAGAACACGUCGUGUGUGCGUUUUGUGCCACAAGAGACCGGGAUCCACACCGUGAGCGUAAAAUACAAAGGGGAGCAUGUGCCAGGGAGCCCAUUCCAGUUCACCGUGGGACCCCUGGGAGACGGUGGAGCUGAGAAAGUGAAGGCUGGAGGCCCUGGAUUAGAAAGAGGAGAGGCUGGAGUUCCAGCUGAAUUCAGUAUAUGGACCCGGGAAGCUGGUGCCGGAGGCCUCUCCAUUGCUGUAGAAGGCCCAAGUAAAGCUGAACUUUCAUUUGAAGACCGGAAAGAUGGCUCUUCUGGAGUUUCCUAUGUUGUACAAGAGCCUGGUAAGUCCAAUUAUGGGGAGCAAGUAAAUUUUCAGUUGGCCGUUAUGUUUUUGUUCUAUUUUUUUUCCCCAAUUUGUUCUGUUCCAACAGAAUUCCGUCUCCCUCUUUCGCAUUUAGCUGAGAAUACGCAAAUUACUGUUUUAUUAUUACAGAGUAAAAGGAAAUCAUUUUUUAAACAUUUGGAUUAUUUGGAUAAAAUGGUCGUCACACAUCGUAACUGGCCUGCAGAGACCCACUGAAACUCACCUGUUUGCCUCCUUUUCCGAUUGAUUGAAUUCUAUUUUCAGGAAUCUGGAUUGAGAGUUAACCAACCAGCAUCCUUUGCCAUACGGCUUAAUGGGGCUAGAGGCAAGAUUGAUGCCAAGGUUCAUAGCCCGUCUGGAGCGGUGGAGGACUGCUUUGUCACUGAACUGGAACCAGAUAAGUAUGCUGUAUGCUUUAUGCCCCGGGAGAAUGGGAUCCACAUGGUUGACGUCAAGUUUAAUGGGAGCCACGUUCCUGGGAGUCCAUUUAAAGUCCGAGUAGGGGAGGCAGGACAGGAAGGAGAUCCAGGGCUAGUUACAGCCUACGAAGAUGGACUGGAGACUGGUACUACAGGUAAACAAUCAGAAUUUAUCAUCAAUACAAGUAAAGCAGGACCAGGGGCCCUCUCCGUGACAAUUGAGGGGCCAUCCAAGGUAACAAUGGAGUGCAAGGAAUGCCCAGAUGGAUACAAAGUUCUCUACACUCCAAUGGCCCCAGGGAUUUACAUGAUUGGAGUGAAAUAUGGGGGGCCCAACCACAUUGUCGGCAGUCCUUUCAAGGCCAAGGUCACAGGUCAGCGCCUUGUGGGUAUCGGUGGUACCAGUGAAACCUCCUCUAUCAUCGUUCAGUCCGUAACCCGAGCUUCAACGGAGACCACGUACAGCGCUUUGCCGAGAUUUGCAUCAGAUGCCACCAAAGUGACGUCCAAAGGCGCCGGCCUAUCAAGAGCUUUCUUGGGACAAAAGAGCACUUUUACUGUAGACUGCAGCAAAGCAGGUUCCAACAUUCUGCUGGUGGGGGUCCACGGCCCCACCCUGCCCUGCGAGGAGGUCUCUAUUAAACACAUGGGGAACAAACACUACACUGUCACUUACCAUGUGAAGGAGAGAGGGGAUUAUUUGCUGGUGGUGAAAUGGGGAGAAGAGCACAUUCCCGGGAGCCCAUUCCACAUCACUGUCCCAUAAUUCCUGGAUAAAAAAAAAAAAUGAUAAAAAUGAAUUGAUUAUAUGGAGCUGAGAAUGUCGGGGAGUGGAAAACAUUGCGUAAAAUUUUAUAUUUGACUUUUUUUAUAUUAGAGAAAUUACAAAUUUUAUGUGCAUUUUAGAAGACCAGACAAUAAUUGAAAUACUGGCCCGUCCUACGCUGUUUAUGGGUUUAUUUAUAUGUUUAAUAUUAUUAACCCCUGCGGCUCCACAGAACAACAACCAAUCACGUUCCCAAUGAUGAAAUGAUAUUAAAGUAUGAAUAAAAUAAACUGGAAUUAUUCAUUAUCACAUGAUCCAUAACUACUGACCCCUCCUCUUUUCUCAUCUCUUAACCAUGAACCAAUAAAAUCCUCUCACUUUGGAUUAACCCUUAA